UAUAUUUGAUAUUAAUAUAAUACGCGUAAUAUAUACGAAGAUUCACGUGUCUAUCGACGGAAAAGUGAUUUGCGAAAAUGUGUACAAUUACGAGAAACGCGUCAGAUCUCGAGAAACGUCAAACGAGAAAUGGCAGUCGUGGAAUCGUCAGUGACCAGUUUCUAAAUUAUUACCGUUUCUAUAUAACUCUCAUCGUCCUCAAUAACAGCUGAGCUCGAUUAUUGGUGAGUUUCCUACCAAUUACGAGGACUGGUCGUCGCGGCUUUUCAAACACACGAGCCAUCAAACUGGAAAAACUGAAGAAUUCGAGGAAUCUCAAUUCAUCUGAACCAACACCACGAACACGUAAUAGCUCGAGCAAGCUUUUAGGUUAAUCGAUGAUUAUUCCAUUCUGAUAUCAUCCGUAUAAUUCAAUAAUUUAAAGAGUACAGACAAAAAGUGAUAAGAAAGUGACGAGACUUUUAAUUUGAAAAGAUUUGUAGUAUAAAUUUAAACUUUGGUAUUUUCUAAGAAUCUGCUUAUGUUUAGGUAGAAAUAUCAAGAUAUUAGAUGUCAUCGAUGAACAAAGUUUGUAUUGGCACUAGCAAACUUUGCAAGAUUAUGGAUAAUAAUUUCAGUUUGAUAUCAUCCGUAUAAUUUAAUUAUAAUAAUUAAAGCUUAUAUGGAAGAGUAAAGUAAAGUUUGAUACAAGUCUUUCUAUACCUUAGUGAAAAGAUAUUUGUGUCAUAUUUCAAAAAUUUCUACGUACCAUACACACGACAAAUGGUAUAACAUAAAUGGCAAAUAAAUGUGACAAUUGAAUACCCGGAUUAUUACCAAAUACGUAGACAAUAGUAUACAAGGUUCGUUAAUUUAGAUCAUUUAAUUGAAAAAUAUGAAAAAUAGGAGAAUAGAAAAUACGAAGAAUAAAGGAAUAGAAAGAUAUUGUAAAAAAUUGAAAGUUGCCGGUGAAUCUAAUUCGAUGACUAGAAACUACAUCAAAUGUGUUCUACUCUUCCUAUACAUACAUAUUCAAUAAUAAAAAAAAAAAAAUACACGCGUAUCAUUCUUCUACUCGACCCUUCAAUUAUUAAAUUCCACCAUGUUCCACGUCUCUCUCAAUAUCGCUUCCAGUUAAAUGUAUUCCACGUUUCAGAGGUUCUUUCUUUAAAGGCAGAUUUCCAAGUCCAACAAUCGAACGCGGUGGAUUCCAAAGGAAUUUAAAUGUAUUUCUUUUCUUUUAUCUUUCCUUCUUUCCUUUUUUUCUUUUUCUUAUAUUUAAACAAAGGUUACAGAGGUAAUUGAAAUUGUCGUCAGGGGCAAGGGAAAUAUAUAGACGGUAUAAAUAGAAGACAUUGAGUAAAAGAGGCUGUCGAAAAUGCGCAACUGGCAGCAAUUGGUUCCGGUUACCGAUAACUUUGCCAUCAGCCUUGACUUCGAGAUUGGAACGUUGUUGCGACGACGCGACUGUGCAACACUGACAGACCGGCGAGAUUUUCGGAGGUGAGAAGAGAUUCGAGUGAAUGGCUGCUGAUGCUGUGUUUUCUUUGGCCGUUUAGGUGAGAAUUCUCUCACCUGGCUAACCGCCGAAUCAUUCGAUUUGGAAUAUUGGAAUCGAUAUUAAUUGGUCGAGACGGUGGAAAUAUUACGAAUUUACUGAAACUAGGAAAACAAAAAAUAUUAAGACGCUUGGAAUACUAGGAAAUUACUGGAAUGCUGGAAAUAUUGGAAAUACUGGAAGUAAUGUAAAUACUAGAAAUAUUGGGAAAUUGGGAAUAUUUUUUGAAUCAUUGGAAACGUUCAGAAUAUUGGAAAUAACAUAAAUACUAGGAAUAUUGGAAAAUUGGGAAUGUUUUUUGUAUUAUUGGAAACGUUCAGAAUAUUGGAAAUAACAUAAAUACUAGGAAUGUUGGAAAAUUGGGAAUGUUUUUUGAAUCAUUGGAAAACGUUCAGAAUAUUGGAAAUAACAUAAAUACUAGGAAUAUUGGAAAAUUGGGAAUGUUUUUUGUAUCAUUGGAAACGUUCAGAAUAUUGGAAAUAACAUAAAUACUAGGAAUGUUGGAAAAUUGGUAAUGUUUUUUGAAUCAUUGGAAAACGUUCAGAAUAUUGGAAAUAACAUAAAUACUAGGAAUAUUGGAAAAUUGGGAAUAUUUUUUGAAUCAUUGGAAACGUUCAGAAUAUUGGAAAUAACAUAAAUACUAGGAAUAUUGGAAAAUUGGGAAUAUUUUUUGUAUCAUUGGAAAACGUUCAGAAUAUUGGAAAUAACAGAAAUACUAGGGACAUUAGAAAGUUAAAUGAUAAAAGCAGUGGAAAUACUUGAAGUCUGGAGAAUAUUGGGAAUAUCGAAAAAUGCACAGUACUAGAACUAUUCAAAGUAAUGGAAACUCUGAGGAUACUGGAAGGUUAGAAAUACUUGGAAUAUUGGAAAUAUUAGAAAUUUUAUAAAUAUUACAGACACCUAAAAUGAAGAAAUACUAUUAGAAAUUUUCAAAAUUUUCUCUCGUAAUCGAUAAUAUCAAAUAUAUCCAAACUUGUUCUCGUUAUUAUAAAUUAUAGCUUUUUAGGGAUAUCGAAAGAUAUUUGUGUCAAUUAUUUUUUAUGUACAAUACAAAUAUCAGCUUUCAUCCACAAAGUAGCGUUCGAGUUUUUAGAUUUCAUCCAUCUGUUUCAUCCAAUUUUUCGCUCUGUCCUCCAACUGCUUAUUUUCACAACUGUCCUAUGAUAUUGGUGGUAAAAAAUUGUGCUUUUGUAAUUCUUCGGAAUUUAGAGAAUGGCGUCCUAUAAAUAUUUUUCAUAUUCUGAACUAUACAUCAAUUGGCCAUUUCCUAUCAUUCUGCCCUAAAGAAAAUUGUUGAUGACAUAAUCUUUUGAUAAUAAUAUGGCACGAGCAAGUUUGUUAAAAUUAACUAUCAUACAGAAGGUAUGUCGUAGCUUGUAGUUUCUUUCACAGUAGAAAAUUGAGGACUUUCGAGACAUGGGACGAAAAUUUCGAAAUACCUGGGGCCGCCUAAAAAAUUACCUGAGAAUGACUAAAGGUUCGCUAAUGCAUUGACUUUCUCCAAAGGAUCAAGGAACUGACUACCUGCGAUCGAUCGAAGUAUCUGGAACCAACCCUCAUAAAUAUUUCAUCCAUCUUUCACAACAUAAAUUUCUCAAAAUCUUCUUAAUAACAGUAUUAGGUAUCUUUUUUAUAACUUCUUUCGCCAUCGAACUGCUCUAAAUUCAUCUAAAAAUCCUUUCCAGGUAUACAACCUCUCGAAUGUUUCAGAAAAUUCAAAACUUCCUGCAAAAAUCUCUAGCAAAUUAUUUCGCCAUCUACCUACAACUCGAAUAUAUAAUCGAGACGAUAAAAAAUAAUUACAGCUGAUUAAAAAUAAUCGAAACUUUCACGAGCGCCGUAAGACAAAUCUACGAAGAAGCUGAUCGUUCUCCAACAAGAUAACAUCUUUGAAAUCUUUCGCAUACGAGAGAAAAAAAUCAUCCCAACGAUCUCCCGAAGAAGAUCUAUGCGGAGAAAUAAAUGUCAAAGCAAUGUGUGUCGAUCGGACAGAGAAUUUCACUGAAAUAAAAAUCAUCAAUUGGUUUUCCACGAGGAGAACAUCUUCCAGAUCUACUUUAUACGAGAGAAAUCUAAAGAUUUUCCGGAGAAAUCGGUCUCCAUCAAGAGGAGACCUCCGACAUUUUUCGCAUACGAGAGAAAUCUAGUAGAGUAGCAUUAGAGAUCGUUGGAAGAUUUUUGACAAAAUUUUCCAACAAUUUCCAGAGAGAUCGUCAAGGUCGUGAUCCAUCGAGCACACCUUCCAGAUGUUCCGCGUACGAGUGAAAUCUACUACGGAAAAUCUUCGAUAUUCGAGAACUGUUCCAACAAUUUUCCACAGAUCCGGCAGACACUUUUCCAACAUCUCUCACGAAUCUACACUACGUUAUCACAAAUGGUGUAAAAUCCAUCAUACCUUCGCUAAAAGGAAAAUCAUGAAAAAAUGAAUCGUCCGAAAACCUCAUGACAAAUUUUUCUACGAAGCAAUUUGACCAUCGUUCGAUUCGAAAUCCGUGAAUGACUAUGUGCAAAAGCGAGAAAACACGAUGCUCAGGUUGGACCAGGCCGCGAGGAAAUCGCGCCGCGACCGGAUAUACGACGAUAAAACCGAAAGUAGCGUGACGUGGGCCCGUUGCUCCCCCUUUUGUCCUCUUCCCCCCUUAUCUCCCUCUCUCUACCCGCUUUACAUUCGUUCGUUUAUGCUCUCGCCAAGGUUGUGUUCCGUGUGACCAUGCCCAAAGCCAUGUCGUAUAUAUGCAAAGCAAAUGCAAGGUCGGUCGCGCGUGUCUCUGCCGCGUCUAUGCGCGAUGGCGCGCUUGUAUCCGUCUCCGUGGGGCCCCUCUCGUUGCACGCAAACAUCACGACCACGCGAUACGCUACCAGAGAGGAGUAUGCAUGUAAUCUGGGAGGCAAUGACGUGGCCCAAAAAACGGUGGCUUCGUCAAAAUCCCCAGCGCCCCACCGCAUAAGUCUUCCUUCUCUACGCAGACUUCUCUUCUCUCUUCUUCUUUCCUUUUCUUCUUCUUUUUUUGUCUUUCUAUUUUUUUUCUGUUCAGGAGAACCGAGCAAACGGCGAAACUGGACCUUGAGGCCCCGACGACGUGGACACUGAGCUGUACUCUGUGUAGUUCUUGUGCUAUAACAUUUUAAGUUAACGCGAAACAGGCAAACGUGGUUGCGGGAGGUAGGGACUGAGGAAAUCGGAGUAUCGAGCGGUGAAACGUUGAAGGAUUAGGAAUGUUAGACGAGUAUCGAAAGUUGUAGAGUAGCGAAAUGUUGAGGCUAAGGAAUAUCUUAAGAUACUGAAUUAAUGAAACGUUGCAGGAUCGGGCAUUUUUUAAAUACCGAGCUGUGGAACGUAGAAGCAUGAAGAAAGUUAAAGUAUUUUGUACCGAAAGAUCGAAGGACUAGGAAUGUUGGAGUAUCGAGUAGUGGAAUGUUGAUGGAAAUUGUUGAGUAUCGAGUAAUGGAGAAUUGAGUUACUAGUACAAUGUAGAAAGAUUAAGAGUACAAAGUAUCGAGUAUUAGAAUGUUGCAUAGAGAAUAUUGGAGAACUGAGUAGUGGAAUAUUGGAUAGAGAAUAUCAAAAUUUCAUUCAGUGUUGGAAUGUCGAAAGCUUGCAAAUAUUAGAAUAUCCAGCAGUGAAAUGUUGCACUGAGAAUACCAAAGUAUCGUGUAACGAAGAAUUGAAAAUUUUUGAGAAUCGAGCAGUGGAAUGUUAGAAGACUGAAGGUAUUAGGGAAAUAUUAGGAAUAUUAUAUUCCAAUGUUGAAAGAUUAAGAAUGUAAAAAUACUGAGUAGUAGAGUGUUGAAGUAUUGAGAAUUUUGAAGUGUCCAGUUGGAAUAUUAGAAUGUUGCAUCGAGAAUAUUGGAAAACCGAGUACAUACUGAACUAUCAAAGUAUCGAAGAACGUUGAAGAAUGUUGAAGGAUUAAGGAAUUUGGAAGGUUCGACUGUUGUUAUUAAAACAGCAAUAUGAAACUGCAUAAAAUUCAGCAAUUUAAUGCUAAAAAGAUAUCUGUGCUUAGUGACAUCUAUUGGAAAAUCUCAACGCUAAUCCACUCCAUAAAUUACUCUAAUCUAAUCUAGUAUCUGACCGUGUCAAACCAAAUUCCCUACACCGCAGAUCCGUCACCAACGACAGCAACAGCCUCGUUGUUCGUCGUUUUAUGAAUAAUUCACGACGACGAUCCGACAGACGAACGCCGAAACGUUAGAUCAUGCUUCGGUUUUCCACGAUCUACAGAGUUUCUGGCACGGGAAUCUUGUUCGUUCGUUGCAUUCGAUGGAAGCCGUCAAAGCAAACUGGUGUUUUUUUCUUUUUUUUUUUUUCUCGCACGUAAUUCCAGCAACAACGUCGAGACUUCAAAGCGGCGAUACGAGAACUCUUGUUUAAACCAUUAAUCCUUCGGACAAAUCUGUCUAACACGAGCAGAUACAAAGAGCAAAAGCAGCAAUAAAAAAAGAGAGAAAGAAGAAAAGAAAAACCGACUUUCUUUCGAUUUCUUAUACUUUAUUUCGUAGCGGAAAUAAGCGCGCGUAAAUCAAAAUUUACUUCCCAGCGAGAAUGAAACUGCCGUAUGAAAACCUUGCCAGAGGAAUAUCUUUUUAUGCGAACUACAGAUUGGAAUCGUCUUUUUCAUUUUUCACCGACGAAUCACGAGAUCUCUGGAGAUUCGCGAGAGGAAGAGGAAGAAGAGAGCAGAGGAGGAUUCUAUGCGUUGAAACGCGGUUAAAACGCAGACGAACACCUUGCGUUCCAGCACCGAGGCUGCUGUAAAUGCUCGGCCUUGAACGGGGUUUACGUAACGCGACAGGGGGAAAAAACGUCCCCUUUCUGGCGGGAGAUCGUUCUGCAUUGUCACGGGCCGUCCGCGAUUCGCUUGCGUGCGGAUUGGCCACGGUGGAACCUUGGCUUUCGAGUUUCUUCUUUUGCUCUCUCUCCGUGCUGAUGCAAGGAUUUGGGUUUAACGAGGUUCCAGGGGUACGCGCACCGGUGCCUUCUUUGAGACAUUGAAAUCCCGCCUGCUCGAUUCCAGAUGGAAAGAUAUUUAUUAAUAUAAAUAUAUGCAGAUAUUGCGGAUCAGAUAAAACGUGAUAUUAACGGAGGUUUGUUAAACUUUAACGCUAAAACCGUUAAUAAUGAAAUAUGCUACGUGGUAUUUUACAAGAAACAAACCAUUUUUGACCAGUCUUUAAAUUUUUGAAAAAACGAAUGGAUGGUGUUUGGCUUAUUA